GGUGGGGGUGGUGGAGGUGUUCUAGGUGGUGGUGGGGGUGGUCUUCUAGGGGGUGGUGGUGGUGGUUUUCUAGGUGGUGGUGGCAGAAUUUUUGGUGGUGGUGGUGGUGGAGGUGGAGAACUUGGUGGUGGUGGAGGUGAACAAGCAUUUGGAGUAAAAUAAUAGGGUCCACAAGUGAACUUAUUAUUUCCAUUAUUGGUGCAUGUGCUUAAUGAUUGGCCACUUGAUCCACCAUUUAUGUCUGUUAAGAAAGAACACCCCCGGGGUGCUCUACUCGUAUCCACACUCACUCGACAACUCCCAAUAUCUGUUCCAGUCUUCACUAAUUCAAAGAUAUCAAAGUAUCCUCUACUAUUUGUAAAUGAUGAAUGACUGUCUCCUGGACAAACCAGGUUUACCUUGGCAUCUGAAAGAUUUAACAAGAUUAGAAAAUUACAAAAGAUAGAUAAUUUUUCUUACUGAAGAUGCCAUUCUGAGAGAGUGAACCACAGUUAGUGCAAUAAACAUAGCCAUCCACUUUGAUACUUGUAGUGGCAGCACAAAAAUUCUCAUUUUUCAGAA
rnacentral:lncRNA from 1 species